rnacentral:rRNA from 1 species
ACUCAAAUGAAUUGACGGGGGCCCGCACAAGCAGCGGAGCGUGUGGAUUAAUUCGAUGCAACGCGAAGAACCUUACCCAGGCUUGACAUGCUACUGGUAGGGACCCGAAAGGGAACCGACCCGCAAGGGAGGUAGCACCGGUGCUGCAUGGCUGUCGUCAGCUCGUGCCGUGAGGUGUUGGGUUAAGUCCCGCAACGAGCGCAACCCCCGUCCCUAGUUGAUGUUUCUAGGGAGACUGCCGGGUGAACCCCGGAGGAAGGUGGGGAUGACGUCAAGUCCGCAUGGCCCUUACGUCUGGGGCUUCACACACGCUACAAUCGCCGGGACAGCGGGACGCGACUGCGCGAGCAGGAGCCAAUCCCCCAAAGCCGGCGCCAGUCCGGAUCGGAGGCUGCAACUCGCCUCCGUGAAGUCGGAGUUGCUAGUAACCGCGCGUCAGCAUAGUGCGGUGAAUGCGUUCCCGGGCCUUGUACACACCGCCCGU